AUGAGAACAUCUCAUGAAGAACUCGAACUCACCCACUUGGAUCAGGUACUUGAAAGAACCUGUUUGGCCAAGGAAAGCCAGAGAACCCAUAUAGCCAUGUGGAUAGGGAAAUGUUUCUGGAAGAAGGAAAGGGUUCAGCAGACAAUCCCUGAAAGGCUCACUCUGCAGAGCCUUGACCACAUAGGAGAAUCAGUCAGCAACCAUCACAGCUAGAAUUCACUGUGAAGAUCACCUUUUCCAGGUAACCAGGAAUCAGACUGACCAAGGGAUAUCAAUGGUCACACAACACAUUAGGGGGAGAGGAGAGACUAGUACUGAGGUCUCUUGGAGUUGUAUUUUUUGUUUUUCUCUAUAUAUACUAGAAAUACAGUAAAGAAAAUUGAGUGUGUUUGUCCUCAAAAGAAAUGUACUUCUCAAUUUUUUGUGAAUCCCAUGACAUAGAAAUUUGUAGACUGUGGUGACUUGUUAUUGUUAUUGCUGUUGAAAGAGGAAUUGAGAAUCUCUACCUUCUUCUAUGUUAGAAAGGAGGAGAAGUGGGGGAUGCUCCCAUAAUCCAGGUGCUGUGCUCAGGGCUUCACAUUUGUCAUCCCAUUUAAUUCUCACAGCACACUAUGAGCAGGCAUCCACAUUUUACGAUGAGGAAACUGAGGCUCAGUAAAAUAAGGUAACUUGCCUAACAUCUCCUAGUGAGUAAUGCUGGGGCUUGCUGGCAGGCAGCAGGUUAGAGAUCCUUUCCAUGGACCCCCCAUGUGUGUGGGGUGGGGAUAGAGGCAGUUGGCUGAGAAUCUGCUCAGUUCUGAUGUGACUGCCAUCCCUGCUAUAGACUCCUAAUGAAUCUCUGAGGGAUGUUUAUUAUUAAGAGUUGCCUGUCCUCUAUUCUCCCUGUCCCAGCAGGAAAGACAGCAGCCCUGGGAAGAGAGUCCAGGUAACUAGAAGCCACCUUCAGUCUAGGGUCUAGAAUUGGCCUGAGGAGACCCUUACCACACCCACCAUAUUGCCUGGGCCUUGAGCUCAGCAGCACCCAUACAAACCAUUGUUUGGAAUGUUAUCGGUAUCUUCUCUCUUAACAAGGCGUAGGCCAAACCUUUUUUUUUCUUCUUCUUCAAAAUUCAGAUAUUUGGCUUUCAACCAUAAGCACAUCAUAAUGAAAGUGGUGGGUUAUCCAGAUGGGGCCUUUUUGCAGUUUUCCCAAUAUUACAAUAUGUAUUUAUUCCCUUCAUAGUCUACGAAGAGGCUAAAUUCUUUCAUAAUGUCACCUUGUGACAAAGCCGACAAUGCUAAUGAAAUCACUCUUCUCCCUAUUGCCCCCUCCCCCAGAGCAGUCAUAUCUUAUCAUUGAAUCGCAGAAACUCUUCACACAAAAUCACCUGAAGUGCUUUGGGGGACGGUAUUGUAAGGAUGAAUUUGUGCUGUGAGUGUGAAAUUCAAUUUCUAUAUUUUCACCUGGUUGUCCAAGUAUAAGAAGGCUUUUCCAGUGUUUAAUGGAGCUGUUUAUCUGUAAAUAUAAGCACUAAUGCAAUGUGACUUGCACGGAUCUGGAAGCUGCCCUUUUUUUCUCUGGCAUGAGUACCCAGUAAACAAAUAAAAGGACUCUGGAAUCAGGCAGAAUUGCAAAUGGCCUCUUUUCUCAUGGAGAAGGUGAAUCUCCAAGGAACCAUAGAAAUGAGCCAGACUGUACAAUCUCAUUGUCAAGGCACUUUGAUGCCUAAUCUGGAACAUUCUCUUCUGAAUUCUGAUUCAGUGCUUCUGAAUUCUGGUAAUAGAAGCCCUUUAAGAUCAAGAAUGUCUGGAAUUUAGAUGUAGAAGAAAGCCUGGCCACGAUGAUAGCUCUAUUCCAGUAAUCCUAUAGAAAUUACUGCUGCUGCUGUUAUUAUUGCAUCAAUCUCUUAUGUAGAAACUUGCAAACUGUUUUAGAAUCAUUUCAUGCAAAAAAAACAAGUGCUGACUAUUGUUAAAGAGGGUUCAAAAAUUGCUGACAACUAAAGAAAGACUGUGAUGAGGAAGUAAAUAACCGAAGUAACAACCAAGGCUAAUUAUAGAAAUCUGAGAUGUUGCAUGUAAUAAUGAUGGUAGUAGCUAACACUGCAUAGUGUAUGCUGUGUACUAAGUGGAUUGUAUCACUGAACUUAUUUAAGCGUUAACCACCUGAAGAGGCAGGCAUUACUGUGAUUCUCAUUUUAUAGAUGAGGAAACUGAGGCAUAGAGACUUAUUCAAGGUCACACACCUUUUUAUGCAACCUCUGUUGUUUUUGCCUGGUUAAUACCCAUGUCUGCUUUUGGCAUGAAUGCCACAUUUAUCUUUGGGGAAACCACUCACCCACCCCCACUCUCAUUGCCUUGGUUUGCCUGGGGUCACCAACUCCCUCCCUCUGUGUCCUCCAGGGCUACUGCCAGUGUGUACGUGACUCAGGUCUAGGCCAUCAGCAUAUUCCACCCACUCUGGCCACAAUGGAUGGCUCAGGGAUGGCCACAGACAGUCAAGCUGCAAACUUAUGUAAAAUGUUGAGAAAAGAGAAUUUCUCUUUGGGCUGAACUCAAAGCUGGGAGCAUGUAGGUCUGGGGUUACAGGACCCUCAAGUGGAGAAGGCAGCCUGAGAGUGGAGUUACCCAGAGAAAAGCAGAGCUGCAGAAGGAGAGACCUUGGGCAAUGAUAUUGUCGAGGUCCUGGAUUCAGCCAUUCCCAAAGUCUGCACUGAUGAGACUUGUCCCACUUAAAAAAAAAAAAAAAAAAAAAGAAUAAUCCAGUGAUUUUUAAACGUUUGCAAGGUUGUACAAUCAUCAAUACUAUUCUUUUUUUUUUUUUUUUCAGACAGGGUCUGGCUCUGUUACCCAGGCUGGAGUGCAGUGGUGCAAUCUUGGAUCACUAUAGUCUCUGCCUCCCAGGAUCAAGUUGUCUUCCCACCUCAGCCUCCCAAGUAGCUGGGACUGUAGGCAGCAUUGCUAUGCCCUGCUAAUUUUUUAUUU
rnacentral:lncRNA from 1 species